rnacentral:rRNA from 1 species
UACGAAGGGGGGCUAGCGUUGUUCAGAAUUACUGGGCGUAAAGGGCGCGUAGGCGGUGCCUCAAGUCAGGCGUGAAAGCCCCGGGCUUAACCUGGGAAUGGCGCUUGAAACUACAGGACUGGAGUACUGCAGGGGAGACUGGAAUUCCUGGUGUAGCGGUGGAAUGCGCAGAUAUCAGGAGGAACACCUGUGGCGAAAAGCGGCUCACUGGACCACAACUGACGCUGAUGCACGAAAGCUGGGGGGAGCAAACGGG